CGCGGCGUUACGCCACGGAGAAGCGGUGUCCGUGGGAGGCGGUGCCGGGCCCGCCAUGCCGAAGCGCUCCUGCCCCUUUGGGGAGGCGGCCCCGCUCCAGCUGAAAACACGCGUGGGGCUGCGGGAGCUGAGCCGCGGCGUGCGGGGCGAGGAGUACCGCCGGGAGGUCUUCGAGAGGACCCGGCGGCUGCUCUUCAGGGGCGCCCAGGCGUACAUGGAGGGUGCCUGGCCCGCCAGCCCCGCCGCCACCUGUGCGGUCACCCGCUCGCCGGAGCCGGGCGGGGAGGCCCAGGACGGCAGCGCGGGACGCCGCUGGAGCGAGCAGCUCUUCAUCGGCCACGACGGGAAACUGCUGAGGCGCCCCGCCGCCACGGAGAAGGCAGUUCCACCUGUGGGAGUUUCUAAAGCGUGUUCAUCCUGUGUAAGGACUGCUGAUGUCAAGGAAGCAUGUACACAGUGUGACCGGUUCGUCUGCCAGCACUGCAGCAGGCUCUGCAGCUGCUGUAACACAGUUACCUGUUCUUUGUGUUCUACUAUUGAUUGUAGGCAGUAGGGCCAGAUGUCCACCUGAUAACCUGCACAGCAAUGUCAAAAUCAACGCAGUUUCACCAGGUUUUCUCAGUACUACACAACAACUUCCUGGCUAACAGCAUCUGUGCUAUAAGAACGUAAUAGUGCAAGGAAAUAAGAUAUGGCAGAGUUUACAAAUAAUUAAAGAUCACAACAUUUGCGGUAAGGAUUGUGUCUCCUCUGUUUCUGUGAAGAAUUUUCACUCUUGUAAUCAAUUAUAAUAUCUUCUGUGGGGUAAAGGUUAUGUAUUAUUUGAAAAAUGUGCA